AUCAGUAUGUUUCUCGUGCCGAGGAGCUCAAAGCGCUGGUCAGAUCGGACAACAAAAUCAGUUUUGAGGAGGCAAAAUCAACCAGGAACAUAUUGAUAGAAAUGUCCAGAGAUCAGCCGCGUUUGCUGGCGGCCCUGGAAGUGGCGUCCACUGCUGUUGGCCGGGAGGAGAGCGGCGCCGAGGACUACGACACGCUUGAUCUAUACCAGCAGAGUCUGGGCGAGCUGCUGCUGGCAUUGGCGGG